GAUGAAGAGCGUAGCAAAAUGCGAUAAGUAAUGUGAAUUGCAGAAUUCAGUGAAUCAUCGAAUCUUUGAACGCACAUUGCGCCCGCCAGUAUUCUGGCGGGCAUGCCUGUUCGAGCGUCAUUUCAACCCUCAAGCACAGCUUGGUGUUGGGACUCGCGUUAAUUCGCGUUCCUCAAAUUGAUUGGCGGUCACGUCGAGCUUCCAUAGCGUAGUAGUAAAACCCUCGUUACUGGUAAUCGUCGCGGCCACGCCGUUAAACCCCAACUUCUGAAUGUUGACCUCGGAUCAGGUAGGAAUACCCGCUGAACUUAAGCAAAUCAAUAAGCGGAGGA
rnacentral:misc_RNA from 1 species